GAUAUCCUGCAAGGAUGUAACAUACACUCAGGUGGUGGGCCAUGCCUGCACCCCUCCCCCAGCCUGAGCUGCCAAGGCCAGUGAGACCCAGCCCAUUCCUGCCCCUUCUCUGGACAGCCAUUGUUUUCCUGUCCCUAAGGGCAGGGCCUGCCAGCUCUGUGCUGAUGGUGUCCUCACCCACAAGGACUUGGAAGCUGGGAAGGUGCCCCUCUAAGGGUUUGUCCUCCAAGUGGGGAUUGCAGAGUUACACAGGGAAAGGGCAGAGCUCACUGUCUUGAAGAGUAUGAAAGUAGGAAAAGAACAGUUAGGCAUAGUGACUGCCCAUCCGUAAUCCUAGCAUUCAAGAGGCUGAGGCAGGAGGAUUGUGAGUUAGAGACCAGCCUGAGCUACCACAGUAAAUCUCUGACUUAAAGGACAGACAGACAGACACAAUAACACCAACAUCAGCGACCACAGCUUCGAGAAUUGCUCUGACAGGCUUGGCUUCAUGCUGAGGUAUUCACGCCAGGGUACUGAGGCUCUUUCUGCCCAUGUUUUCAACCCUCACUGCAUUUCUCAAGGGUCUCCCUUAAUGUUUUGCUACUUCACACGACAUUUUUUUUCAGGUGCCUGGCCUGCUGCUGGCGGCGGCUCUUGAAGGACACAGGAUUUGUCCUCUUGUGCCCAGGGAGGCUUGUCCUAUCUCCGUCUAACAUGUCCAAGGUCACGGAAUCCCUUGUUGUCUUCGGGAUCUGCACUUUCCCUGUGCAGUGUGUUUGGCUGUGGGCUUGCCUGGCAGCAUCAAACCCUGUCUACUGAACUCCCUGAUGGGAGGGACGGCUGCUGGUGAGGUGUCGGGGCAGGGCUCUUUUUCUAAGCACUCAUUUCUGUAACAAACACAUUAAUAACUUGGAAAGCCUGCCCAUGCAAUCUGUUCAGACUACAUACUCCAGUGCUCCAGAAUGAGGCUGCCCUAGAAUGCAAACUCGAACUCCACUGGCCUGGAAAUUUCUUCACUGACAACGAAAGUCAUAGAUUAUUGUCAGCUGCCCUUAGAGACCAUCAAGUUUGAGAGGUGGAAAAAACUGAGGCCCUGAAAGGGAGAAAGGCCCUGCCAAGGCCAUGACAGCAAGUUUGUGAACCAACCACCCAAUGAGAAUGUGCCUUGCAGCAUGCGGAAAUGUCUUCCACAUCUGGCUGGCCCUCUGGACCCUCACUACAGCCCUCUGGGGCAGCUGGGCUCAAAGGCACUAAAGAGCUGAAGUCACAGCGCAAGGUUGUACGGCAAGACACAGAACCUGGGAGCGUCUGUUUGGAAUCAUCCCGAUGCUUGGCAAUUGGAAGGAUGCCCAGGCUCAUCUCAACUCAGACAAUCUGUACGGCAGAUGCUGGUAGCCUUACGUGCCUAGUAUCAACAUAAGCCGCGUCCAGAUCUAGGCGAGAAGGCAAAGGAAACCACAAACAGACAAAAAGUGCAUUUACCAAAGGUCACAGGUGACUCUGAAGGAAACAAAGCAGGGGUGGAUGAGCAAACGUCUCUGAAGGGCGACAUUUGAGCUGAGAGCUGGCCUUGAGGAGGACAGCACUGCAUAGGCCUGGCACGGCAGAGCGCAGGGCAGAGCAGGAAGAAAAACAUCAACAAUUCAACAUGUGCUUAUUAGAUGUCACGUCGUAGGUGGAAAGAUACACCGAAGAUUAAUUGAUGCUGACUCCAGUCUCCCAAAAGGCCUGGCUCCUGAAGGCAAGCAGGGCAGAGGCUGCUCAGCUCACAAACAAGAGACUUCAGGAGUCGCUGAUGGAAAAUUUAAGGCAGCAGAAUUAUUUUUUUUUCAUAACCAUCAGAAAGAACUCAGCCACGUGGACACCUUAGUUCAUCCAGUGAGACCCAUUCUGAGCUUCUUCCCAGAGCCUUAAGAUAACGCAUUCAUGAGAUUUUUAAGUCCCUAAGUUUGUGAGAAUUACAAGUGGCAAUCAGAAACUCUUUGUUGCUGUUAGGAGAAACCGUCCUGCAAUUUAAUGUUGGCCACUGAAGAUACUUUUUCUGGUUUCAAGAAUCCAGCUAUCGGCGCUGGAAGGUCGGCACAGGAGUGAAGACUGACCACUGAUCCAGGUUUGGUUCCCAGCACCCACAUCUCACAGCCACUUGCAACCCCAGUUCCAGGAGAUUCAACACACUCUUCCGGACUUUAGGAGUGCCUGCAUUCAUGUACC